GGGAGGUGGUGAAGACUUCUUAUCAUGGGCUGUCCAGAGCUGAAGCCACAUGACAAGAUGUUGGAUGCAUUAGGAGUCUAGACAUAUGGCUGGAAAAUGGAACAGCUGUAUUUGUCUGAACAGCCUGAAGGUACUGCUUCCUCAGCAGCAAAAAUUCUUACAAUGGACAAGUUCAGACUCCAGGGGCAGUCCUACAAACUCUUGUUAUGCUGAAUAUUCUUGGAUUCAUCUACAGAUCCCACUAAUAUCGAAAAAGAUAAAGACAUAGAAAUCAUUUUGUGCCA
rnacentral:lncRNA from 1 species